UUAUUUGAGACAGGAUACAACCUCACACACCGGGUAAGCAAAAGAACAGCAAAACCAAGUGGGCCUAAAAGCAGCCACCUUUAAGAAAGCGUUACAGCUCCACCCCCUUCAACCAAAAAUCAUUCCAACACUUUCUAACCCUUAACCCCUACUGAACCAUUUUAUAUUACUAUAAAAACUAUUAUGCUAGGACUAGUAACAAGAAUUUGCUUUUCUCCUUAAUAUAAACAUAAGCCAAAACGGACCAUCCAUUGGCAAUUAACGUUAGUGAACUAACUAUAAUAACGACCUUACUAGAAAACCCUAUAUUUUAUAACGUUAACCUUACACCAGAAUAUUUAAGGAAAGAUUAAAAGAAAAAGAAGGAACUCGGCAAACUUCAACCCCGCCUGUUUACCAAAAACAUCGCCUCUUGAUAAACAUAAGAGGUCCAGCCUGCCCAGUGACAAUGUUCAACGGCCGCGGUACCCUAACCGUGCAAAGGUAGCAUAAUCACUUGUUCUUUAAAUGAGGACUUGUAUCAAUGGCAUCACGAGGGUUGUACUGUCUCCUUUUUCCAAUCAGUGAAACUGAUCUCCCCGUGAAGAAGCUGGGAUUUUAAU
rnacentral:rRNA from 1 species